rnacentral:rRNA from 1 species
ACGGGGCCCGCACAAGCGGUGGAGUAUGUGGUUUAAUCGAUGCAACGCGAAGAACCUUACCUGGUCUUGACAUCCCGGAGACCCUUAGGAAACUAGGGGGUGCUUCCAUCUGGAAGAAUCUGGAGACAGGUGCUGCAUGGCUGUCGUCAGCUCGUGUCGUGAGAUGUUGGGUUAAGUCCCGCAACGAGCGCAACCCUUGCCUUUAGUUGCCAGCAGUUCGGCUGGGCACUCUAAAGGGACUGCCGGUGUUAAACCGGAGGAAGGUGGGGAUGACGUCAAGUCCUCAUGGCCUUUAUGACCAGGGCUACACACGUACUACAAUGGCCGAUACAAAGGGCAGCGACACUGCGAGGUGAAGCCAAUCCCGUAAAAUCGGUCUCAGUCCGGAUUGGAGUCUGCAACUCGACUCCAUGAAGUUGGAAUCGCUAGUAAUCGUGGAUCAGCAUGCCACGGUGAAUACGUUCCCGGGCCUU